UACGGGGGGGGCAAGCGUUGUUCGGAAUUACUGGGCGUAAAGGGCUCGUAGGCGGCCAACUAAGUCAGACGUGAAAUCCCUCAGCUUAACUGGGGAACUGCGUCUGAUACUGGAUGGCUUGGAUUCGGGAGAGGAAUGCGGAAUUCCGAGGUGUAGCGGUGAAAUGCGUAGAUAUCUGGAGGAACACCGGUGGCGAAGGCGGCAUUCUGGACCGAUAUUGACGCUGAGGAGCGAAAGCCAGGGGAGCAAACGGG
rnacentral:rRNA from 1 species